rnacentral:lncRNA from 1 species
CUGCAGCCCUGAGAUGAGAGGUAGGAGGCCGAGGCUUCCUGCAGGUCAGCUUGCCCCCUCCUUGCUGCAGAUGCACAGCAGAUGGCCAGCGUCCCCAUCCAGCACAUCCACACCACAGAGCUUCUGGGGGAAGCCUCCGAGAGAGGAGGUGCUUCCUGACCCCAGAAUUCGUGGCAGUCAUAUGAAGGAGCCUUCCAGGACACAUCUAACAUCAGGGCCUUCCCAACAGUCCCCCUCGGCAGGGCCACGCCACAUCUUUCACAAUUGCUCAGAAAAAGACUCAUCAUUCUCCUUAAGUCGGGUUCUGCAAAGCAUCCCUGAAAGGAGGGUUCCCAUGAAACUGGCUGCCAAGGACAGGACUGUGUGCCCCCUAAAUUCAGGUGUCAAAGCUCAACCCCACAGUAAUGGCAUUUGGUGGUGGGGUGACUAGGUUUGGAUGAGGGCAAGAGGUGGCACUCGUGAUAAGACCCUAAUAAGACAGCAUGGAGCUUGAUCUCUCUCUCCUUGUCACACCAGCACACAACAGGAAGAUGGCCAUCUGCAGGCCAGGAAGAGAGCACUCACCAGACCAACCAUGCUGCCACCCCGAUCUCAGGCCUCCAGUCUGCAGAGUGUGAGGCAGCGAAUGGCUGCUGUGGAAGCUUCGGCACCUGUAGGUGUGGUUGUGGUGGCCUGAGCCAGCUGAGACAGGGACUGGGGAAGGGCAGAGCUGGGCAGUAGAACAGACCAGCUACCUGAGGCCCUGUCUCCACCGUCCUUCCUCCCACAGCACCAGGGGCCAUGUGGGCACUAUGGGACCCAGGGAAGCCUGUGAGGAAAAGGAGAAUUCUAGCAGCACCGAGGACCCUGUCAUGCCCCCCAGAAUCAGUGGUGGUCCUAACAACACRAGGACCCUUGACAUGGCCCCCAGAAACAGUGGUCCUAACGACACGARGACCCUUAUCAUGCCCUCUGCAGGAUCCAUGGUCCUGGCAGAGGUGGUGGAGGUGGAGCCGACUCAAGACAGCAGCUUCUCUGAGGAGAAGAUUCAGGUCAAGGGUGACGUGCAUGUGGUGGGAGGGGGAGGCCCUGCAAGUUCCAUCACUAGUCCUUCCACUGCCUGGCUGAAGACGCUUCCAGGGAAGGAGGAGCCGGAGCACACCCAGCCAGCCUCCUGAAGGGCCUUUCUACAAAUUUGAUUUGAUAAGUUCCAUUCCAUCUAUUCACAGUGUGUCAAAAUGCAUUCUCUGGUAUAAUUAAUUAUGACUUAUGCUGUAUAACUAC